CUAUCUGGCAGGCCACAGCAUUCUGAAGAACAGGGAUAGCACAGAAUCACCAGUUUCUGCACACUGACUUAUGGGACAGCAUGGCUUACAUGGGUUAGAAGAACUUCUAAAUGGGUGAUGAAGACCAGGGCAGACUCUGAAGUCCCCCAAUUGAGUAUGGCAUUGUCACCAACUGGGAUAACCUGGGGAAGAUAAGGCACGACCACAUCUACAAUGAGCCGUUUAUAGCCACUGAGGAACAUGUAGUGCUUCUGACUAUGGUCCCCAUGAGCCUCAAGGCAAGCAAAGAAUGAUGUCUCAGAUCAUGUUUGAAACUCCAAUACACCGGUCAUUAAAGUGGCUAACCUGAC
rnacentral:lncRNA from 1 species